rnacentral:sRNA from 1 species
GGCUAUUUUUAGACUAUAUUAACCUCCUGGAGAUAAAAGAGCUUUGUAUAAAGGUAAACAAAAAUGUUCAAAUUUUAUAAUUAAAAUUUUGGCUUUUUCUUUUCUGAAUACUUUAUGGCCAAAUUUUUGGUAGUUUGUUGAUGAACCAGCCCCUCUAAAGAUGUAAGACUUGAUUAAAAAAAAUGAUCACCAUUAAAUUUACACUGUAAGUUUGGAGGUAGCAUUCACCUAAUUAUUGUGACGCAGUAAUUAGGUGACUGCUACCUUCAUACCAAGAGAUGUUUUCAUUAUAUGAAUACCUCUAUUUGCCAUUUUUACCAACUCUCUGCCAAUAUUUUACAUUUUUUUACUCUAUGUGAAUUGAACAAAUUUACAUGUAGGUAUUUGAAUUUUUGAAUUUCUUUCCAUAAAAUAAAAAAGCAUUGCUGUAUGAAAUGUUCUGAAAGUUUGGUAUAGAUGAUCAAUAUAUAUAUAUAUAUAUUUUUAAAACAUUAUUUUAAACAUGUAAGGUUUUAUUUUAUUAUUUUUGAACUGGUGUUCAAUGUAGCUCAAGUUAGUAGAAAACAACCCAUGAAACUUGCAAUAUGUAUUCUUGUGCCUAACAAAUUCCUAGUUUCUCUUUCAUUUAUGUGUUAUUAUUUUUCUUUGUUUUCAAAAAAAAAUGAGAAAUAAAAUGUUUCAUUUCACAAGUC